rnacentral:rRNA from 1 species
ACACGUAGGGGCCUGACGUUGUUCGGAAUCAUUGGGCGUAAAGGGCGCGCAGGCGGCCGUCCAAGUCCGGUGUUAAAUGGUCGGGCUCAACCCGAUCAUGCGCUGGAAACUGGGCGGCUUGAGUCCCGUAGGGGAUGCCGGAAUUCCAGGUGUAGGGGUGAAAUCUGUAGAUAUCUGGAAGAACACCGAUGGCGAAGGCAGGCAUCUGGCCGGAGACUGACGCUGAGGCGCGAAGGCGCGGGGAGCGAACAGGUUUAGAUACCCUGGUAGUCCGCGCAGUAAACGAUGCGCACCAGGUGUCGGGCGGCAGCGCCCGGUACCGGAGCUAACGCGAUGAGUGCGCCGCCUGGGGAGUAUGCCCGCAAGGGUGAAACUCAAAUGAAUUGACGGGG